UUUUCACUCUUUUGGCCGUGACAAAAAUUCUUUACCAGCUGCUACGCAGAGGAAUGGGUAAUUAGUAAUUUUAUUUUAUAUCGCCGCUAGAAGCGGGAAUAACAAUGAAAGUUGUAGAUACUGCUCGUGCUUCAGGGAACAGGAUGUAGGUAGUUACGUCAAAGAAGGCAAUACUCAAGCACAACACACAUAAACAGAACGAAAUAAAUUACAUGGAGAUGUAAAUACGUGGUACCUAUUUCAAUAUCCAAAUGGGCCAAAUUAGCUUUGGUUUACUCACAAUAAAUAAAAAAGGCAAUGUAAAGAAAAUUAACAAUCACAAGACCGGCUCACUCGCUUCAUUUCAGUAUAGGACGAGUUAAUAUGACCUCAAUUUUGAUAGGACUUGGAUUAUUAGAUAGCGCUACCGGUAUAACACCUUGACCAUUGGACCUCACCUGGGGUAUACUACUGCUUGAUAUUUGUCUUGUGCAAUGUUUUAUAAACUGACUAUAAUUAAUUAAUUAAUGUGUCACUUAGGGCCAAUUGCACCGUCAACGAUAAGUAUCCCUUAAAGUUAAGCAUAAUUUAAAUACCAUAGCUACGAUUGUUUUUAAUAAUCGUUUCCAUAGAAUUUAAGUUCGACUUAACUUUAAGCAAGUUUUAAUUUUGUUGGUGCAACUGGGGCUAAGCAACAAAUGGUGUAACCAUUGUUUAAACACCAUUGUACAUGUAUUAUACAAGUAGGCCAACGGUCGUUUACUUUUGAACACCACGUAUAGAUGGCGAGGACAUUAGAGUCGCAACAUUGCCAUCAACGUAAGUAAUUGAAUGCAACCAAAUAUUUAAAUGAAAUAUUACCUUAAAUCAUAACAUAACGUCAUAACCUUAAUCUCAAAAAAUGACAACCUCAGAGUAUUUAUUUCUUACUCUGAGAUGACAACUAUUUUUCUGUUUACUUUAAGUAUUAUAUAAAAAAACUUUAAGUAAAAGUAAAAACGUUAAGUAAGUAACACACAAAAAACACAUCACAAGUGAAAGUGAGGGAAGAAAAGGAAUGAAGGAUAGAGGAGAUAGGUGAGAUAGAAUAAGACUCGAUGAAUGAAUUCCCUUCUUUAUUUUAUUUAACAACCAUAUCGAUGAAACGGAGACGGCACAACAAGUACAACCUGACCUUUGCCGAAGAUGUAACUUGCCAAUUAAGGUGAUCGGAAUAGAUGGUGUGACCAACGGUUAACAAUCGGUGUUGCUUUGGUGAUGCGAACAGGAAACACAAUGAACGUAAGAUGUAUAGAUGAUGCCAGAAGAUGCUUGAAUCCAACGUAGUACGAUGAAAAGUCUGAGGAAACUUGAAGACACUGAAAGAAAUAAAGGAAACGUAAACAGCUAACAGAAUAUCGAUAAUUUGUAGACGAUUACAUCUAUCAGAGUCAUACUUCUUGAGAUGACAGGCAAGCGUUUGUGUUAAUGUGACCAAAGAUCCGCAAUAUGCACGAGAAGAAUUAUAUACCAAAAUAUCAAAAGACUUGGUGAAAUCACAUGUACUUCAUACAGGAUGGCUACAGGAAAAGUGAAAGUUGAUAAGAGCAUACAGGAAAAAGGAAAUGAUUGUUAUCAUUAUCAGAUACAAGUAAAAACAAUAAAGAGACAGUUACUAAAUUUGAAUUAAAAUUGUAGAAAAGGAAGAGUAGAAAAUGAAAUAAAGUAUUUCCAAGAUUUAUAAGAAUUAAGUAUAAGAAAAAGAACUGUUACAAGUUGUUUUACAAUACAUUGCCUUUAAGUUAAAGUGCAAACAAUUAUUCAUAAAUUUACGUGUUAAUACUUGUCAUUGCAUAGACUUUAUUGUAACGUAAUAGUUAUUCACAUAAAAGUCAGGAAAAUGACACA